rnacentral:rRNA from 1 species
GAUGAACGCUGGCGGCGUGCUUAACACAUGCAAGUCGAACGAAGAAGAGUUGAAUGAGAGCUUCGGCAGGAUUUCUUCUCAUCUUAGUGGCGGACGGGUGAGUAACGUGUGGGCAACCUGCCCUAUACUGGGGAAUAAUCACUGGAAACGGUGACUAGUACCGCAUGUCAUCACCGAGGGGCAUCCCUUGGUGAAAAAAGGAGUAAUUCGGUAUAGGAUGGGCCCGCAUCUGAUUAGCUAGUCGGCGGGGUAACGGCCCACCGAGGCGACGAUGCGUAGGGGUUCUGAGAGGAAGGUCCCCCACACUGGUACUGAGACACGGACCAG